CAGCCGCCGCGGUAAUACGUAGGUGGCAAGCGUUGUCCGGAAUUAUUGGGCGUAAAGCGCGCGCAGGUGGUUUAAUAAGUCUGAUGUGAAAGCCCACGGCUCAACCGUGGAGGGUCAUUGGAAGCUGUUAAACUUGAGUGCAGGAGAGAAAAGUGGAAUUCCUAGUGUAGCGGUGAAAUGCGUAGAGAUUAGGAGGAACACCAGUGGCGAAGGCGGCUUUUUGGCCUGUAACUGACACUGAGGCGCGAAAGCGUGGGGAACAAACAGGAUUAGAGACCCCAGUAGUCCCUGUCUCUUAUAA
rnacentral:rRNA from 1 species